AUACGGAGGAUCCGAGCGUUAUCCGGAUUUAUUGGGCUUAAAGGGAGCGUAGGCGGGAGAUCAAGUCAGCUGUGAAAUGUAGAUGCUCAACAUCUGCACUGCAGUUGAAACUGGUUUUCUUGAGUGCGUAAGGGGCAGGCGGAAUUCGUCGUGUAGCGGUGAAAUGCUUAGAUAUGACGAAGAACUCCGAUCGCGAAGGCGGCCUGCCGGGCCGCGACUGACGCUGAAGCUCGAAGGUGCGGGUAUCGAACAGGAUUAGAUACCCUGGUAGUCCGCACAGUAAACGAUGGAUACUCGCUGUCGGCGAUAUACGGUCGGUGGCCAAGCGAAAGCGUUAAGUAUCCCACCUGGGGAGUACGCCGGCAACGGUGAAACUCAAAGGAAUUGACGGGG
rnacentral:rRNA from 1 species